UUUCAAAUAUUUGAUAUAUUUCAAAAUGAUCCUGCCAUCCGCUUACCAAUAAAAAGCAUUAGUUUUCUAUUUUAACAGAUAAAAAUAUUCCUUAUGCAUAUACGAGGAUCGCCAGUAAGAAACGAAUAGAAGUAGAAAGAACCACCAUUAAGAGAGAAGGUGGGAUCAUGGAGGUUGGUAUAGAGGAGGAAGGAGGCAUCAAAGGAAGACCUUAUGGAUGGGCUUG
rnacentral:lncRNA from 1 species